CAGUCGAACGGGAAACCUUUUAUUGAAGCUUCGGCAGAUUUAGAUUGUUUCUAGUGGCGGACGGGUGAGUAACGCGUGGGUAACCUGCCUUAUACAGGGGGAUAACAGUCAGAAAUGACUGCUAAUACCGCAUAAGCGCACAGAGCUGCAUGGCUCGGUGUGAAAAACUCCGGUGGUAUAAGAUGGACCCGCGUUGGAUUAGCUAGUUGGUGAGGUAACGGCCCACCAAGGCGACGAUCCAUAGCCGGCCUGAGAGGGUGAACGGCCACAUUGGGACUGAGACACGGCCCAGACUCCUACGGGAGGCAGCAGUGGGGAAUAUUGCACAAUGGGGGAAACCCUGAUGCAGCGACGCCGCGUGAAGGAAGAAGUAUCUCAGUAUGUAAACUUCUAUCAGCAGGGAAGAAAAUGACGGUACCUGACUAAGAAGCCCCGGCUAACUACGUGCCAGCAGCCGCGGUAAUACGUAGGGGGCAAGCGUUAUCCGGAUUUACUGGGUGUAAAGGGAGCGUAGACGGAUGGACAAGUCUGAUGUGAAAGGCUGGGGCUCAACCCCGGGACUGCAUUGGAAACUGCCCGUCUUGAGUGCCGGAGAGGUAAGCGGAAUUCCUAGUGUAGCGGUGAAAUGCGUAGAUAUUAGGAGGAACACCAGUGGCGAAGGCGGCUUACUGGACGGUAACUGAC
rnacentral:rRNA from 1 species